UGUGUUGUGCGACAGCUUUAGACACAACGGUAUAUGUUCCUGUUGAAAACCGGUACUUUUCAAUUAUUUCAUGACAUGUUGGCCAUCCCUGUAUUUGCCACCUAUACCUAACAGCUAAAGCAACACCAUCAAAGUAGGUUCAACACCCAAACAGCAAACUGUCUCCAUUACACGUAGCAUAUCCUGUUUUGACGUGUUGGCAAUGCAGCUGUUACCGGCAGCGAUCAUCACCUGCUUGUGGACAACUGGCUCACAACUCUAGUUUAGACUUAAAUUAAUGUAAAUGAAGAGAGACUGUCAAAUCACAUACUAGUAUCUGUCAUUCCUAUUUACAGAUCACUUUAUAUGCUAAAUGUAAAAAUAACCUAACAUUUCUCAUUCUCAUUCAUAGAUGUUGAAAUUUAACCUGUGGAAAUGCAGAUUGUUUGUCAUAAGCUGUAUCACAGGCUAAAAACAAGACAUGUCAUUCAGUUCUAUUUCAAUUCGGAUGAAAAAACAGGGUAAAAGAACCUGGAACAUAAGAUUGAGAGAAUCUAAUAAACCAGACUGAUAACAAAAGUCAGCAUUAGA